rnacentral:rRNA from 1 species
GAUGAACGCUGGCGGCGUGCCUAAUACAUGCAAGUCGAGCGAACAGAUGAGGAGCUUGCUCCUCUGACGUUAGCGGCGGACGGGUGAGUAACACGUGGAUAACCUACCUAUAAGACUGGGAUAACUUCGGGAAACCGGAGCUAAUACCGGAUAAUAUAUUGAACCGCAUGGUUCAAUAGUGAAAGACGGUUUUGCUGUCACUUAUAGAUGGAUCCGCGCCGCAUUAGCUAGUUGGUAAGGUAACGGCUUACUAAGGCAACGAUGCGUAGCCGACCUGAGAGGGUGAUCGGCCACACUGGAACUGAGACACGGUCCAGACUCCUACGGGAGGCAGCAGUAGGGAAUCUUCCGCAUUGGGCGAAAGCCUGACGGAGCAACGCCGCGUGAGUGAUGAAGGUCUUCGGAUCGUAAAACUCUGUUAUUAGGGAAGAACAAAUGUGUAAGUAACUAUGCACGUCUUGACGGUACCUAAUCAGAAAGCCACGGCUAACUACGUG